AGGCACGAGGUCCAUUACCCUUUAUGUAUCUUCAGCAUGCUUUAGAAUCUGCCUGGGAAACGGCACAUCGCAGCAAGAUAAAUGGAAGAUAAGUCAACAGACCAGAGUGGUGUCCAGAUAAGGAGAAUGAGACACAGAGAGGCAAUGAUUAGGCCAAAGUCACACAGUGUUUCAUGAUUCGAACUCAGACCAUCUGGAACCAGAGCUGGAGCUCGUCAUCACGCACGCGCAAAUAUUAUGAAGAGAUUCACAAAACAACUGUUUCAUCCAAUCAUGGGGUUUGGACUUUUGUGACUCACCUUUCCCCAAAGAUGAACUGAUAAAUCUUGUCUAUUCUUCAUUGAGAGGUGACUUUGUAGGGAUACCUUAUGGAGACUCCGCUUUCUGGUCUCAUUGUGGCAUCAUUUCCCACUAAGUCGGUGCGAACUGGCAGUGCAGAGAAAUACUCCUGUGGCUGUUUCUGGAUUCGAC